rnacentral:tRNA from 1 species
UGGGCAGUAGCUUAGUGGUAGAGCGGUUUUUUAAUAUGCGGAAAGACCUGGGUUCAAUUCCCGGCUGCUUCC